ACUACGGGUGGCAGCAGUGGGGAAUAUUGGGCAAUGGGCGCAAGCCUGACCCAGCAACGCCGCGUGAAGGAAGAAGGCUUUCGGGUUGUAAACUUCUUUUAUCAGGGACGAAGCAAGUGACGGUACCUGCUGAAUAAGCCACGGCUAACUACGUGCCAGCAGCCGCGGUAAUACGUAGGUGGCAAGCGUUAUCCGGAUUUACUGGGUGUAAAGGGCGUGUAGGCGGGAGUGCAAGUCCGAUGUGAAAACUAUGGGCUCAACCCAUAGCCUGCAUUUGAAACUGUACUUCUUGAGUGCUGGAGAGGCAAUCGGAAUUCCGGGUGUAGCGGUGAAAUGCGUAGAUAUACGGAGGAACACCAGUGGCGAAGGCGGAUUGCUGGACAGUAACUGACGCUGAGGCGCGAAAGCGUGGGGAGCAAACAGGAUUAGAUACCCUAGUAGUC
rnacentral:rRNA from 1 species